rnacentral:rRNA from 1 species
CCUACGGGUGGCAGCAGUGGGGAAUAUUGCACAAUGGGGGAAACCCUGAUGCAGCGACGCCGCGUGAGUGAGGAAGUAUUUCGGUAUGUAAAGCUCUAUCAGCAGGGAAGAAAAUGACGGUACCUGACUAAGAAGCCCCGGCUAACUACGUGCCAGCAGCCGCGGUAAUACGUAGGGGGCAAGCGUUAUCCGGAUUUACUGGGUGUAAAGGGAGCGUAGACGGUUAAUCAAGUCAGAAGUGAAAAUCCGGGGCUCAACCUUGGGACUGCUUUUGAAACUGAGUAGCUAGAGUGCAGGAGAGGUAAGCGGAAUUCCUAGUGUAGCGGUGAAAGGCGUAGAUAUUAGGAGGAACACCAGUGGCGAAGGCGGCUUACUGGACUGUAACUGACGUUGAGGCUCGAAAGCGUGGGGAGCAAACAGGAUUAGAUACCCGAGUAGUC